ACUUCCGCUUCCGCCGCCGCUGCCAUGGCCCGCGGGUUCUGGAGUGUACUCGGGACUGAGGGAGACACCGAGGAUGAGGAUUUCCUCUCGGCACUGGCUGAGGCCGAGCUCCAGUUCAUGGCUCCCCCCCCCGCGCCCCCCAUCCCAAUGGGACAGCCCCGGACCCCGUCCCUGCGGCCGCUCCCAUCACCCCCAGCGCAGGGGGGAGCU